UACAGAGGGUGCAAGCGUUAAUCGGAAUUACUGGGCGUAAAGCGCACGCAGGCGGUUGGUUAAGUCAGAUGUGAAAGCCCCGGGCUCAACCUGGGAAUUGCAUUUGAAACUGGCCAACUAGAGUACGUGAGAUGGGGGUAGAAUUCCAAGUGUAGCGGUGAAAUGCGUAGAGAUUUGGAGGAAUACCAGUGGCGAAGGCGGCCCCCUGGCACGAUACUGACGCUCAGGUGCGAAAGCGUGGGGAGCAAACAGG
rnacentral:rRNA from 1 species